rnacentral:rRNA from 1 species
GCCUAACACAUGCAAGUCGAACGAACCCUUCGGGGUUAGUGGCGCACGGGUGCGUAACGCGUGGGAACCUGCCUUUUGGUUCGGAAUAACAGUGAGAAAUUACUGCUAAUACCGGAUAAUGUCUUCGGACCAAAGAUUUAUCGCCAUUAGAUGGGCCCGCGUAAGAUUAGCUAGUUGGUGGGGUAAAGGCCUACCAAGGCGACGAUCUUUAGCUGGUCUGAGAGGAUGAUCAGCCACACUGGGACUGAGACACGGCCCAGACUCCUACGGGAGGCAGCAGUGGGGAAUAUUGGACAAUGGGCGAAAGCCUGAUCCAGCAAUGCCGCGUGAGUGAUGAAGGCCUUAGGGUUGUAAAGCUCUUUUACCCGAGAUGAUAAUGACAGUAUCGGG